CACUUCUGUAGUGCUAACUAUCUUAUAGUUCUCCGUGCGGUUUGUUCGUGCUUGGUUGGUUAGUAGUUAAUGUUAGCUACCUAGCUAGCGGCGCCAGCUGUGUGUUAGAUAACGUUUGUCAUUUCUCCUUCUUCUGC